GGAGAAUCAGCUGCCAAUGUCACUCUGAACUUAGGACUGAAAAGUGAGCCUGCCUUGAUAGAAGGAAAGAGCAUUGACUCCUGCCUGCCUUUGCUUCUUACCAGAGGAUCUUGGCCAAUGAUCCUCACAACCUCCUUCUCCACGGACAACAUCAGCAUUAAUUAGAGAGCGACAUUAAUGGGAAGAGCUUAAUUAUGGCAUCUCCUUGUUGAUGGCUCCUGUUCACCGCCCCCCCGCCGUGGCUUUGCUCAGGACAGCCUGUUACCAGGCACUACCUUGCUGCUA
rnacentral:lncRNA from 1 species